rnacentral:misc_RNA from 1 species
UCUCCGUAGGUGAACCUGCGGAGGGAUCAUUACUGAGUGAGGGUCUCCGGGCCCGACCUCCAACCCUUUUGUGAACCAAACUUGUUGCUUCGGGGGCGACCCUGCCGUUCGCGGCGUGGGGCCCCCGGAGCCCAUCAAACCCUGCGUCGCAUGCGUCGGUUUGAAUUGAUUGAAUAUCAAAAAACUUUCAACAACGGAUCUCUUGGUUCUGGCAUCGAUGAAGAACGCAGC